rnacentral:rRNA from 1 species
AUGAAUAUUUAAAUAGCCGCAGAAUUUUAACUGUGCUAAGGUAGCAUAAUCAUUUACCUUUUAAUUAAAGGUUUGUAUGAAAGAUUUAACAUUUAAAUUAUUUUUUUAUUAAUUUAUAUUUAAAUUUGAUUAAAAAUAAAAAUAUUUUUAUAAUAUAAAAAGACGACAAGACCCUAUUGAACUUAACUUAAGUUAAGCUGGGGCAGCUAAUUAAACAUAAUUUUAAUAUAUUAUAUUAAAUAAAUUUCUGGAUACCCAAAAUGAUCAAGUUACCAUAGGGAUAACAGCGUAAUAAUUUUUAAAAGUUCUUAUCUAAAAAAUAGAUUACGACCUCGAUGUUGAAUUAAAUUUUACUUUAAAACGCAAUAGUA